CACCAUUUUUGCUGUUCGUAAACGGAAUCAACGCCUAUAGGUGUUUCGCCCUAAUCCUUAUUUAAUUUCAUUUGAUUGUGUAGAAUACGUUUCUAUUUAAUGAUUGAUAGGUUUCGGUUAGCGUUGCUUAGAUUUUUGUUGGCGUGAAUGGCUUCGGUGGCGUGUUGGUUUCGUGCUUGCAACACGAGAGUCCAUUUUGGAUGUUCACUCAUCUACUUAAAAAAUAAAUUCUUUGUUUAUUUGAGAUCGAAUAAUUAAGGUGCUAUUAAAAUUUUUGAAUUUUGGGAACAUAUUUAGGCGAUGAUUACAGAUAUUUAAUACCGAUCUGACUACGCCCCAAAAAUUUUGUACGCUUUGUAACUAAAAUGUGUAAGAAUUUCUCAAAGCGGUUAUUCUGCCUUUAAAAAGUUCUAUUUAAAAAUGUUCACAUUUGCUUUGUUAUUCAGUAGAUUGUGUUUUAACGAUUUGUUUUUUCUCCUAUAAUAUAGACUUGCUUUGGGAUGACAUCCUUGGAUUCAAUGGACAAACUACUUGCAGAUAUAAUGUUUGUGGCAAUCAGACAUAUUUUUAUGUUCAAGAACGCUUCUAUUGAGGUUGUAAAUAAGUCGUGGGACACAGGAUGCUAACAACGAUCGUCUGACAAAUGGAAGAGAAAUAAAGUUCAGGUUGAUGGUACUGAAGCAAUAUCUACAAGGUUUGGUGGACUACAUUCUUGAUUUGCUGUUUUCGUCUUCACCUUGCAACAUUAUGCAGUUAAUUUUCAAGUGAUGAGUGAGAACAACUGAAGAUUUAUGUGAAUUCCACUGAAAUAAGAAAUUUUCUGCAUUGGCAUUCCUCUUGGAUUUGAUUUGCAUUUCACACCUGCAAACUCUGGAACAUUACGGUCUACAGUUAAUUAAGGUCGACGUUGGAGAAGACAAAGAUGACCCCGUAGUUAAAAUAGUUCUAUAUCUUGCAUGCUCUAUGUAAUAGAAUUCAAGUUCAUUUUGUUCAAAUUAGUUUUUUUAUUUUGCAUGUUUUUUUGUAGUUUAUUUUAUUUAAAUUAGUUUUUAUUUUGCAUGCUUA